CACAGGGACAAGCUUAGCACCAUCUCCCUCUGGUCGAAGAGGGGAGUCUCGUUGCAGAAGUAGUUCAUCCACCAGCCCGGAUGGUGUUCAGAGCUGAAGUCUUUCCUGAACCCUUCGCCCCGAGCAGCACAAGGCGGAUGGUGGUGACCGGCCUUAACUUCUCUACAAGCACAAAGAGAGCAGAGGGAUGAUUUUAGACUUCUUUGCCUUAAAGCAGCCAUUAUGCGGUGCGUACAGCGGUAACAUCAGCCGACCAAACAUGCUGGGUUGCUAGGUGACGGGUGGAGCUCAGCUGGCGUUGCUAGGUAACGGGACAGUGUCUGUGGAUUGUGACUCAAAAGUUUGGAGAAUUUUGAAAUGGCUCGUUUUUCAGACACCAAAAAACGUUUAACUUAUUACCAAAAACUGGUGGGGUGUUUUAUUUUUAUAGGCAGUUGAGACACAGAUGGAAAUACAAAAACAUAAACAAAAUGUUUCCUUAUAGGUCCCCUUUAAGUCAGGGUUACAGGAAUAGUUAGUCAUUUUAAAAUAUUAGCAUUUUUCAAAGCAACUUGACUAUAAACGGCAUUCUUACAUUCUUAGAAAUUCAAAAUUCAAAUUGACUAAUACAUGUAUUUAGGAUGUUGAAAAAUCAAAAUAUAGAAGCUGAUACAUAAAAGCUGGACUGUUGAGUCUUAGGCUAUAGCUUUAGAUUAUUUAUUUUGAAUAUUUGCUCAAUGUGUCAGAGCAAAAACUUAUAUUAUGCACUGCAAAUAAAAACUAUAGUUAAUAAAUGUUCAAUAGAGGACAUUUAUGCUUCAGUUUCAGUUGUGUAAACGUAGCAGUGUUUUUAAUUAGAUAAACCUAUCAUUUCAUAUGUAUUUACAGCUUUAGGCUGUAAAUAAACAUCAGAUAAAGAAAUAAAUUGUUGGUAAUUAAAAUCGGCCUCAGGUGUGUUACCACCAACAGCCACUAGGGGCUGAGUAAAACAUUUUCUGUUUGAAACUACAUUAAAAAAAGAUAUUGUUCUGUUUUACAAAAUGUUAAUAAAUAUUUUCCCACACCUUGAAUGAUGUGGUUCACUGUUCUGGACAGAGCUUUGUGUCCAUUAGGCUUUAAAACAUAAACUUUAACCUUUAAACUUCCUGAUGACACCAGUAAAGCUCUUUCCACCGUCACAGUGUAACAUUAAGACACUGUGACAUUAACCACGUCCUCCUCCUCUCAGUGUUUUCUUAAAGAUUGCACAGUGAUAAAGCGUACAGAAUAAACACUGUUAGACUUUAAAGAUCUUCACCAUAUAAAUGUCAUGUAAAAAAGAUAAGAGAGCACUCAGGGUUUUGUCUCUAAAAGUCAUUUAUCAGGGAAAUGUAACCAAUCUUGGCUCCUAUCGACUUUCUGAUCUUGUGUCUUGAGCUGCAAGCUUAUAUAUUCUUCUGAGCCUAUAAAAAGAAAGUAUUUCUGAAGAACUUGGGGUUUGCAGUAAUAGAGUUGUGUUAUUGGGUUUUGUUCAGCAUAUUUACAACAUGUCCUCUUCUGCACUCCCAGAUUUCUCAGAUAAAACAUUUACAUAAUGACCACAUUUCUCUGUUUCCCACAGGUUUGAGGCUAAAAGCUGCUUUUUCUCUGUUCAUGCAUGAGGAAGUUUUGUUUUCCAUCUUUAAAUGGGUUUCAUGUGCUGCUGCAGUGAAGAUAAGCUGAGGAAACGUCUGAAUGCAAAACAGGAAGGAAAGCAGCAGAUUCAUAUCCAGCAGAGAAGCAGUAAAAAAAUUCUGCUGUUUAUUUUAGAGCUGCAGAGGAUGAACUGGGACAAAACAAGAUUUAGUCACAUAUAAGGCAGGAAAUGCACACUGUAAAACAUUUCAAAUUGGUUUAACUUGAAAAUAAAAGUCCAGAUGCUGCCUUGAAAAUUAAGUUAA